AUGCUUGCUUCAGGAGCACAUAUACUAAAAUUGGAAUACAGAGAAGGUUAGCAUGGCCCCUACGCAAGGAUGACAUGCAUUCGUAAGGUGUUCCGUAUUUUU
ensembl:snRNA U6 U6 spliceosomal RNA